CCAUACCAUCUUCCCGGAGCAACCCAAACCCAACACACACUCAUAGUUCCCCGUCAUAUCAAUCUUCACAGCCAGCAUCCGGUAGCAAAAAUGGAGGAGAACGACGGCGCAACGCACCCUAAUGGUUUCGUCCACCGCACAUAUCCAGUGACAGGUGAAGUCCCCAUGGAUGAUAACUUUUCCACAACCAUGAGUCGUAUACCCUCGUUUCAAAACCGAAUCAACAUGGAUCUAGUCGAAGAAUAGAAUGAGAGGAAAUCAGCGAAAUCCCCCACGCCGCCUACUGUGCCGGGCACAGGAUGGAUUAGACGUCAGAGAAAUACUUUUCAGAUCAAAGUAGACAGAUGGAGCUUGCCAUUGCAGAUGUUAUGCCAAUAACGGUGCACCGUUUGAUGCAAAUGGCAUGUACUAAAGAAGAUGAUGGAAAAGGGUGGUAGUAUAUAUAGUAAAUGAACUGAAUUCAGAAUCAAUUUUGGUUUGCUUGUAAAUGAGAUGAUGACAGUAGAUGAGAUUGAGAAAGAGUGAGAGGAACUCGUUUUUGAAGCAGAUUUAUGAGGUCAGAGUAAAGUGGGCUAAGCCAUAUUUGAUCGACGUAUUUUGUGCGAAAAUGUGCAGCACACAGCGUAGUGAGUGCAUGGACAAUGUAUUGAAAAGGUACGUCGCACGGUCAGCACCUCUGAAUUCAUUUGUCAUUCAGUUCAACAGAAUGUACGCGGAUCGGUGUUCCGAAGAAGACUAGGAGCAAGCACACACAGAUAAGGUAGUACUCCCUCCGUUCCAGAAUA